rnacentral:rRNA from 1 species
CCUACGGGAGGCAGCAGUAAGGAAUAUUGGUCAAUGGGCGCAAGCCUGAACCAGCCAUGCCGCGUGCAGGAAGACGGCCCUAUGGGUUGUAAACUGCUUUUGAACAAGAGAAAGCCUCGGUACGUGUACCGAGCUGAUAGUAUUGUUAGAAUAAGCAUCGGCUAACUUCGUGCCAGCAGCCGCGGUAAGACGAAGGAUGCAAGCGUUAUCCGGAUUCAUUGGGUUUAAAGGGUGCGUAGGCGGCCUGAUAAGUCAGUGGUGAAAUCUCUCAGCUUAACUGAGAAACUGCCAUUGAUACUGUCGGGCUUGAGUACAGAUGAUGUGGGCGGAAUAUGACAUGUAGUGGUGAAAUACUUAGAUAUGUCAUAGAACACCGAUUGCGAAGGCAGCUCACAAAACUGUAACUGACGCUGAGGCACGAAAGUGCGGGGAUCAAACAGGAUUAGAUACCCUGGUAGUCCGCACCGUAAACGAUGAUUACUCGUUGUUGGCAAUAUGACCGUCAGCGACCAAGCGAAAGCGAUAAGUAAUCCACCUGGGGAGUACGCCGGCAACGGUGAACUUAANAGAGAGAGNGNGNGAGNGNGACGACGACGACGAGGAGGAGG